GGACUACUGGGGUAUCUAAUCCCGUUCGAUUCCCACGCUUUCGUGUAUGAGCGUCAGGAGCGCGCCAGUAGAGUGCCUUCGCAUUUGGUGUUCCCCAUGAUAUCAACGGAUUUCACCCCUACACCAUGAGUUCCCUCUACCUCUCGCGUCCUCAAGCUCUGCCGUUUCGCUCGCAUUACCGGGGUUAAGCCCCGAUGCUUUUACGAGCGACUAACAAAGCCGCCUGCACACCCUUUACGCCCAGUGAUUCCGGAUAAUGCUUGGGGCCUCUGUAUUACCGCGGCUGCUGGCAC
rnacentral:rRNA from 1 species